GCACGGUCAUCAAUAACCACCACCCCAGAGGCUUUCUUCAGAAUAUCCUUUGCUGUGUCCUCAUCAAGGGGCUUCUCAAAUUGAAGAUUAACACUUUCAGCAUGUGCGCGCAUGACAGGAACUCGGAUACAUGUAGCAGUGACUUGAACAUUCAUGUCAUUCCAAAUUUUUUGGGUUUCUUUAACUAAUUUCAUUUCCUCUUCAUUGUAUCCAUUUGAUAGGACCGGUGCAUUAUGUGAAAAUAAAUUAAAAGCAUACUGUUGCUUAAAGAUUUUGCACGUGGGUGGUUUUCCUUCCAAGACCUCACGAGUCUGCAGCUCCAGCUCCUCCAUUGCGGCAGCACCAGCACCACUGGCUGCCUGAUAAGUACUAACAACCAUGCGUUGCACCUUGGCAUGUCUAUGCAAAGGUGUGGCAGCCAUCAAACAGAUAAUAGUAGAGCAAUUUGGGUUCGCAAUCAAAGCCCCCUUCCCCAUUCCAACUUUAAUCCCUUCCAUAGCCUCCGGAUUCACCUCAGGAAUCACCAGUGGAAUCCCCUCAUUCAUCCUAAAAGCCGAACUAUUAUCAACCACAACCGCACCCUUCUCCACCGCCACAGGCCCAAACUGCUUACUAAUAGAACCUCCAGCACUGAACAGCGCAAUGUCAAUCCCAUCGAAGCUCUCGGCUGUCAAUUCCUCGAUCGUGUAGUUCCUGUCCUGGAAAGACAGCUGUUUCCCAGCAGAGCGUUUGGAGGCAAGCAUUUUGAUAGAGCGAUAAGGGAAGUCACGGUCGGAUAGGACGGAAAGGAAUUCCUGACCCACUGCGCCUGUGACGCCCACGACGGCGAGGGAGGGGGCGUUUUCUUGGAGGGACAUUCGAAUUCUGGAAGGUGAAGUAGUAAAUUUUGGUUUGGGUUUUAGGUAGAAUUUGGAGAAUAGAUGAGUUUGCUGGUGCGGGUGAGUGAGAGUCGCCAUUUGAGACAGAGAAAGCAAGAAGUUUAGGCGGCUGAAAGAGACGAUGGGGUUUUAAC
rnacentral:misc_RNA from 1 species